GUCCUUUCCUGGUUCAUAAGUAUGAUGAUUGGGGGUUCACGCCACUGUGUGACAUGCACCUCUCUCAAACUGUGGCACAAUGUCUGUAUAUUAACCCUCUGGCA